UGUUGUAUGACUGGCGGAUAAGUGGGUAACCACGAGGGAGUACAGCUAAUAAAGAAUUGUCGACCGCCUGGGCAGCCG
rnacentral:ncRNA from 1 species